CGAAGCAGAGCGCAAGUGGUGUCGAAGGAAACCGGUGGUCCUCCUACUGUACCGCGCCGUAUCCAUUUGUACGACUUGACUUAGUUCCGUGUCGGCGCAUCGAGUGCUUUUACGGGGGUUAGUGAAAGAGGGUGUGCGGGGUGAGUCGAAGAUUCGCCGAUACGAUAUAUCGUCGCGAGAUUACAAUGUAAUCCCGUUGUUGAAGACGUGGUAAUGCAAACGAUUCUUUGUUCAACUAUUACUUGGACUUACACGUUCACCGUGUACAUCUUAAUAUCGCGAUCGAGGAAGAUGGCUGAGGAGCAGCCGAGGUACAAAUUGAUCUACUUUAAUGCACGGGGUCGUGCCGAGCAUAUUCGCUAUAUAUUCGCCUACGCGGGCAUCGACUAUAUCGACGAGAGAAUCACUAAUGAUUGCUGGCCUGAGCUUAAAAAGUCGAUGCCUUAUGGGAUGCUGCCGGUUCUGGAAAUCGAUGACAAACCGAUAGCGCAAAGCAACGCCGUGGCACGUUACCUGGCCCGUAAGCACAAUCUUGCAGGUAGAGACGAGUGGGAAUCGAUGCUCUGCGACGUGCUGGUCGAUACUCUGGGAGACCUGAAACAAUUCAUUUUUCAAUAUCGUACGGAGGAGGAUCUUUUUAAGAAGGAGGAGAAGAAGGCGAAACUCCUGAAGGAAACAAUACCGUUCUACCUGAAUAAAUUCGAACAAACGGUCGCCGAGAACGGUGGUUACGCGGUCGGUUCUACGACUACGUGGGCGGACUUUGUGUUCACGGUGGCGUUGGAAAAUUUCGAGAAUAUUUUCGGUGCGACCGCUUUAGAGAAUUAUCCGGCGUUACGUGGUUUGAAGAAACGAGUGCACGAAAUUUCCGCGAUCGCCGACUGGCUGGCCAGGCGACCCCAUUCCGAGUUCUAAAACGUCGGAAACCGGAAGGUGGCAUCGACAUCACAAACAAGUAUACAUAUCUGCGCAUACAUAUAAAAACUGUACAAUCUCCUUCGAUAUUUGAAGGGAAAAAAGAAAUGAAAAAAAAAAAAAAAACACUUGUGUUUUUAUCUCAGUUUAAGAUGACUCGUUUAUAUUAUGCAAAUUAAAAUCUUGUGCAUGUUAUUGGUCGGCUUUAGUCCGUACUUAUUUUGCGUCACGAGAGAAAAUUAUACGAAAAAUACGCAAAAGAUUACUAUCGGAAUGGAUGUCUAGAUAAAGCUUCAAUGUGUUCAUUAUAUCGUGCAUCGUGCACAUGUGUAUGAAUGGUGCAUCGCUACACACAUAACUUACAUGUUGCCGACAUCGAUAAAGCGUGGAGAGAGAAGAUUAAGUGUUAGAUAGAUAUAUCUCUCGAACAGAUCCCGCAGGUCUCGCAAUGUAAUCGAUAUCGCUUUUAUGUUACACAGACUAUACUGUUCCCUGUUUGUUUUGACGAAAUGUAUCUAUCGGAAUAUAUCGAGUAUCAUACAGGGUAAUACUAUGUAUUAAAUGUAUGUAAAAGAAAGAGAGAAAAAAGUAUAUCGAACGACGCGCAAAGCGGGUCAAUCUCUACAGAAAGAAGCAUGUGUAUCAAAAGAAAUGUAGUCGAUAAGGUUUAGUGUAAUAAAAGUUUGAAGGCAAUUUAAUGUGAUUCCUCAUUUCUAUUGAUAAGAGCGUAUAUAAAUAUAUAUAUAUA